GGGAAAAAAAAAUGGACCCAGAGACAGAAUCUCGGCGCGAGAACUUUGCGCGCUACGACGCUUCCGCCGUGCAAAGUCGUUUGUUCAUCAUCCGAUGGUUACCUUUUCGCCGGCGGCGCUACAGCAGACGGCUUUCCAAGCUAUUCAGGACAAAUGAUUAUCCAUCUCUGAUCAGAGAGAGGAAGGUAAUUUACCUUGAAAUGAGAGGAAGGCAACGAAUUACAAGAUGAAGAUAGUAACUUACAACGUGAAUGGUCUAAGGCCACGCAUCACACAGUUUGGUUCACUUGCUAAACUGCUCGAUUCCUUUGAUGCCGAUAUCAUUUGCAUUCAGGAAACGAAAUUAAGAAGGCAGGAAUUGCGAGCGGAUUUAGUCAUUGCUGAUGGUUACGAAACAUUCGUUUCUUGCACUCGUACCUCUGAGAAAGGUCGAACCGGUUACUCAGGGGUUGCUACGUUUUGCCGUGUUAAGUCAGCAUUUUCGAGUAAUGAAGUAGCAUUGCCAGUUCGUGCGGAGGAGGGUUUCACAGGUCUUCUAGAAAGUUCACAGGAUGGAAAACGCACAAUGGCUGCAGUUGCAGAAGGACUUGAGGAAUUUUCGAAAGAGGAGCUCCUUAAAUUAGACAGCGAGGGGCGUUGUAUAGUCACAGAUCAUGGCCAUUUUGUUCUCUUCAACAUUUAUGGGCCUCGAGCUGAUAGUGAUGAUUCCGACAGGGUUCUGUUCAAGUUAAACUUUUACAAUGUGCUACAGAAAAGAUGGGAGCAUCUUCUGCAUAUGGGAAAAAGGGUAUUUGUCGUUGGUGAUCUUAAUAUUGCACCUACUUCAAUGGAUCGCUGUGACGCAGGACCAGAUUUUGAGAAUAACGAGUUUCGGAGAUGGCUGAGAUCUUUGAUGGUGGCAUGUGGUGGCCGUUUCAUUGACAUUUUCAGAGCAAAACAUCCUGACCGAAGAGAUGCAUAUACAUGCUGGCCUCAAAGUACAGGUGCGGAAGUAUUCAAUUAUGGGACAAGGAUCGACCAUAUAUUGUGUGCAGGACCAUGCUUACAUCAUGACAACAACCUGCCGGGCCAUAAUAUUGUAGCUUGUCAUGUUAUGGAAUGUGACAUUCUGUCACAGUACAAACGCUGGAAAGAUGGCAAUUCUUAUAGGUGGAAGGAAGAGCGGACUGUUAAACUAGAAGGCUCUGAUCAUGCACCGGUUUGUGCAAGUCUACUGGAAAUCCCUGAUACUCCUCAACAUAGUACUCCAUCUUUAUCUGCAAGAUACAAUCCCAAGAUUCACGGGCUUCAGCAAACUCUUGUGUCGAUGCUUUUAAAAAGACAAGCUGCUGAAGAUUCAGCACCGUGCAAAAAAUCAAAUUCAUCUUCACUUGGGAAUUUAGGGAAUUGUUCUCAAGGAUUUAAUGGAUCAUUUGACAAUGGUGACCAAUCGGGCGAUCUUCCAAGUGAAUCUUGUUCUUUGACAAACCUAGAAACAGAAGAUUCUCUAUUAGAAACAGGUGAGUGUUCUGGUGGAAGUUAUGCCAAGGAGGCUGCAUGCAAAACCUUAACUACGCACGAACCUCUACAUGCGAAAGCAUUACCUGAGAAUCCAACUCGGAAAAGAGUUAGAAGGUGUUCCCAGAUGUCAUUAAAGGCAUUCUUCCAGAAAAAUUCAGUUGUUAGCAACGAUGCUGACAGCUCUAAUGCAGAUUCUUCAAUCAGCAAAGGAGAUACCUCCGAGUCUAAUUCUAUUGAAAUUCCUAGAUCAAAUACUCAAAUCAGCGACUCAGGCCGACAGUUAGAAGCAUAUCAGGGUCAGUCUCAAAUUAAUGCCACUCCUGAGAAAGAAAAGAGUGGUGUUGCCAUGUUGGAAUGGCGGAGGAUACAGCAGGUUAUGCAGAAUAGCAUACCCCUUUGCAAGGGCCAUAAGGAGACUUGUGUUGCUCGAGUAGUUAAGAAACAAGGUCCUAAUAAUGGCCGCAGAUUUUAUGUUUGUGCUCGUGCGGAGGGUCCCGCAUCUAAUCCUGAAGCAAAUUGUGGUUACUUUAAAUGGGCGGCUUCCAAAUCUCGGCAUAAAUAAGCCGAUAAUUGCUGGUGUCGUAAUGCAGAAUUGGCCAAAUUCAUUCCUUAUCCUUUGCUUCCUACCAGUAUUCAAUUUUGUAUCUCUGGAUGGAUGCUGACUCGCUGACCAUCAAUUCUGACCUGUGUCAUAUGUUUGGCGGAGUUUGAGUACGGAGAUGAACUUCGUGUUCUGCCUAACUGCAAGCAUGUGUUUCAUAAAGGUUGCAUUGAUCAAUGGCUUCCAUUGAGAUCGUUGCUUUGCCCUCUUUGUCGAGAACAUACAAUCAAGGAGAUUGAGACCAUGAGGAGACCCGUUUGUUCAAACUAUUGGUCCCGAAAUCCAGCCUUCAUAUUGGCUUUCGGCCUUGGUAGUAAUGCCCCAUUACCCUCUCAAUUGUAAUUUCCAUAUCGAGUAAUUACAAAUCUAGCCUAAUUUAUCUAAACUAGAAUAGCAGCUUAAAAAGUUACGAUUACACAAACUCGGAAAAUACAUCUUAAUUAAUAUAUUAGUUAGUAAGUAUUUAGUA